AUCCUGGCUCAGGAUGAACGCUAGCUACAGGCUUAACACAUGCAAGUCGAGGGGAAACGAUAUUGGAAGCUUGCUUCCGAUAGGCGUCGACCGGCGCACGGGUGAGUAACGCGUAUCCAACCUGCCCAUCACUUGGGGAUAACCUUGCGAAAGUAAGACUAAUACCCAAUGACGUCUCUAGAAGACAUCUGAAGGAGAUUAAAAGAUUUUAUCGGUGAUGGAUGGGGAUGCGUCUGAUUAGCUUGUUGGCGGGGUAACGGCCCACCAAGGCGACGAUCAGUAGGGGUUCUGAGAGGAAGGUCCCCCACAUUGGAACUGAGACACGGUCCAAACUCCUACGGGAGGCAGCAGUGAGGAAUAUUGGUCAAUGGGCGAGAGCCUGAACCAGCCAAGUAGCGUGCAGGAUGACGGCCCUAUGGGUUGUAAACUGCUUUUAUAAGGGAAUAAGGUGAGUCUCGUGAGACUUUUUGCAUGUACCUUAUGAAUAAGGACCGGCUAAUUCCGUG
rnacentral:rRNA from 1 species